UUCCCUUCGGGGUCAUCCAAUAAAAUUAGAACGAUAUAGAGAAGAUUAGCAUGGUUCCUAUGCAAGAUGACAUGCAUAAAUCGAGAAAUGGUCUAAAUUAUU